AGUGAACCCUGGCGGUAGGCCUAACACAUGCAAGUCGAACGGCAGCACAGUAAGAGCUUGCUCUUACGGGUGGCGAGUGGCGGACGGGUGAGGAAUACAUUGGAAUCUACUUUUUCGUGGGGGAUAACGUAGGGAAACUUACGCUAAUACCGCAUACGACCUACGGGUGAAAGCAGGGGAUCUUCGGACCUUGCGCGAUUGAAUGAGCCGAUGUCGGAUUAGCUAGUUGGCGGGGUAAAGGCCCACCAAGGCGACGAUCCGUAGCUGGUCUGAGAGGAUGAUCAGCCACACUGGAACUGAGACACGGUCCAGACUCCUACGGGAGGCAGCAGUGGGGAAUAUUGGACAAUGGGCGCAAGCCUGAUCCAGCCAUACCGCGUGGGUGAAGAAGGCCUUCGGGUUGUAAAGCCCUUUUGUUGGGAAAGAAAAGCAGCAGGUUAAUACCCCGCUGUUCUGACGGUACCCAAAGAAUAAGCACCGGCUAACUUCGCG
rnacentral:rRNA from 1 species